GAUGAACGCUGGCGGCGUGCCUAAUACAUGCAAGUCUAGCGAACGGACGAGAAGCUUGCUUCUCUGAUGUUAGCGGCGGACGGGUGAGUAACACGUGGAUAACCUACCUCUAAUACUGGGAUAACUUCGGGAAACCGGAGCUAAUACCGGAUAAUAUUUUGAACCGCAUGGUUCAAAAGUGAAAGACGGUCUUGCUGUCACUUAUAGAUGGAUCCGCGCUGCAUUAGCUAGUUGGUAAGGUAACGGCUUACCAAGGCAACGAUGCAUAGCCGACCUGAGAGGGUGAUCGGCCACACUGGAACUGAGACACGGUCCAGACUCCUACGGGAGGCAGCAGUAGGGAAUCUUCCGCAAUGGGCGAAAGCCUGACGGAGCAACGCCGCGUGAGUGAUGAAGGUCUUCGGAUCGUAAAACUCUGUUAUUAGGGAAGAACAUAUGUGUAAGUAACUGUGCACAUCUUGACGGUACCUAAUCAGAAAGCCACGGCUAACUACGUG
rnacentral:rRNA from 1 species